rnacentral:lncRNA from 1 species
ACAGAUAAGAUAUGAUCGUAGGCAAUCACAAUGACAACACUCCUUCUAGCAUCUACCGGACAAAUCACGUUUUACUAACUUACAAAAGUGUUGCAACAAAACUCAUAAUUCUUUGUACAAUCAGGAAACAUAUAUCAAAAGUAAAAUAAGAAUAACCACCAAACAAACACAAACCCGAAAUGCACAUUGAAAACCAUCUUCUCUUCCACAAAUU